GAUGAACGCUGGCGGCGUGCCUAAUACAUGCAAGUAGAACGCUGAAGCUUGGUGCUUGCACCGAGCGGAUGAGUUGCGAACGGGUGAGUAACGCGUAGGUAACCUGCCUCUUAGCGGGGGAUAACUAUUGGAAACGAUAGCUAAUACCGCAUAAAAGUCGACAUCGCAUGAUGUUGACUUGAAAGGUGCAAAUGCAUCACUAAGAGAUGGACCUGCGUUGUAUUAGCUAGUUGGUGAGGUAACGGCUCACCAAGGCGACGAUACAUAGCCGACCUGAGAGGGUGAUCGGCCACACUGGGACUGAGACACGGCCCAGACUCCUACGGGAGGCAGCAGUAGGGAAUCUUCGGCAAUGGGGGCAACCCUGACCGAGCAACGCCGCGUGAGUGAAGAAGGUUUUCGGAUCGUAAAGCUCUGUUGUAAGAGAAGAACGAGUGUGAGAGUGGAAAGUUCACACUGUGACGGUAACUUACCAGAAAGGGACGGCUAACUACGUGCCAGCAGCCGCGGUAAUACGUAGGUCCCGAGCGUUAUCCGGAUUUAUUGGGCGUAAAGCGAGCGCAGGCGGUUAGAUAAGUCUGAAGUUAAAGGCUGUGGCUUAACCAUAGUACGCUUUGGAGACUGUUUAACUUGAGUGCAGAAGGGGAGAGUGGAAUUCCAUGUGUAGCGGUGAAAUGCGUAGAUAUAUGGAGGAACACCGGUGGCGAAAGCGGCUCUCUGGUCUGUAACUGACGCUGAGGCUCGAAAGCGUGGGGAGCAAACAGG
rnacentral:rRNA from 1 species